rnacentral:lncRNA from 1 species
AUGUUUCUUAAUGUUUGUAGCCACUGUUGUGGAAGAUUUAGCCUGGGGAAAUGGAAGAGCAGCCUUUCCUCUAAAAAAACAAAUUAAUAUAAACAUUCAAUCAAUUAUACCAUUGCUCUAUCUCUAAAGUUUUUUUUUCUCCUUUUCUCAGUGUCUUACCAAGAAUGAAAGGCAACCUGUGUAAAAACUAUGGGCUUUCUAGUAUAAAUAAAAACUACUCAUCUCCAGAAAAUAAACAAUGACUGCUAAGAUGAUUGAAAAAAGAAAGGAGAAGAAAGUAGCUUGUAAAAGCGUGU